AGCAACGCCGCGUGAGUGAAGAAGGGUUUCGGCUCGUAAAACUCUGUUGUUAAAGAAGAACAUAUCUGAGAGUAACUGUUCAGGUAUUGACGGUAUUUAACCAGAAAGCCACGGCUAACUACGUGCCAGCAGCCGCGGUAAUACGUAGGUGGCAAGCGUUGUCCGGAUUUAUUGGGCGUAAAGCGAGCGCAGGCGGUUUUUUAAGUCUGAUGUGAAAGCCUUCGGCUCAACCGAAGAAGUGCAUCGGAAACUGGGAAACUUGAGUGCAGAAGAGGACAGUGGAACUCCAUGUGUAGCGGUGAAAUGCGUAGAUAUAUGGAAGAACACCAGUGGCGAAGGCGGCUGUCUGGUCUGUAACUGACGCUGAGGCUCGAAAGUAUGGGUAGCAAACAGGAUUAGAUACCCUGGUAGUCCAUACCGUAAACGAUGAAUGCUAAGUGUUGGAGGGUUUCCGCCCUUCAGUGCUGCAGCUAACGCAUUAAGCAUUCCGCCUGGGGAGUACGGCCGCAAGGCUGAAACUCAAAGGAAUUGACGGGGGCCCGCACAAGCGGUGGAGCAUGUGGUUUAAUUCGAAGCUACGCGAAGAACCUUACCAGGUCUUGACAUACUAUGCAAAUCUAAGAGAUUAGACGUUCCCUUCGGGGACAUGGAUACAGGUGGUGCAUGGUUGUCGUCAGCUCGUGUCGUGAGAUGUUGGGUUAAGUCCCGCAACGAGCGCAACUC
rnacentral:rRNA from 2 species